AGAAAAUGAUGUGCCAUUAGAAGUGGGAGUGUGUUUGGCAGGCAGAGAGAUGGCAGAUUUAGGGCGAGUUAUUGAUUGGAAAAGUGGGGUCUGUCACAGCACAUUAGUUCUCAGGGGAGUAAUCCACAGCAGGUUGCUGCGAGAAGCAUCUGCUGCCGGAGAGAAGUAAUUAAAAACAGGAUGUUGAGGCAGUUGCCAUAUAAACAGGAAAUAAGACGGUGGUAAUAGACACUUCACGCUGAUGCUGUGAGAUGGUUUUACAUCGCGUCGACUUUAAUGGAUGCAGAGCGCAUGCUUCAGGUGAAACUCUCAAGGGUCUCCUAUCCGCUCAACCCCCCAGUCAGCUGAAGCAGAAGUCCGUUCACACUGAACCUUGUUCUCAUUAAGGUUUCUACCUGUUAAAAGUGCAGUUCAACCACAAUAUCAGAUAUGAUCUCUGGUUGUUUUUUCUUUUCAUCUUUCUGUUCAGUUUCUUUGAAACAAAUGAGCUCAUGCAAAUGCAGUGUAGUAAACCAGAUGUUAGUGCUGAUAUGAGUAAUCAUCUGAGAUGGCAGUCAUCACCAGCUCUUUCUGUUUACAUUGGGGCAUUUUGCUCCUAAUAUAUGUGAAAUGGAAACAAUGCUACAAAGUGAACUUAAAGUUCGGUUUUGAAUUUUACAGAGCUUUAAGUGAACAUUGGGAUUUUACUAUGUGAUACAAAGUAGUUCAUAAUGGUAAUGUAAAAGAAAAAAGAUACAUGGUUUUCAACGUUUGUUAUAAACAGAAAUCUAAAACGUGUGGUCUGUGUUCAUCUCUCUGUACUCUGAUACCCCUAAAUAACAUUGUGUUCAGCUAAUUGCCGUUGGAAGUCACCUAAUUAAUAAAUAGCGUCAAUCUGUGAGAAAUUUUGUCUCAGUAUGAAUCCUGUUGUUUUGUAAAGGCCUUAGAGGUCCAUUAUGUCACAACUUGUGAGUUUGUAGCACCAAACCUGUCAUGAUCUGAGGGUAUUUGAGUUUUGUUUUGGACCUUGUUCAUGAUUGUCUUCCAUGUGGUGCUUUGGUUCAUUUAUUUUAAGUUUAGUUUCUUGUUCCAAUGUUUUCUAGGUGACACUUUAGCUCCUUAUUUAUUCUUGUAUUUUGUUCAUCGUGCAUUUUAGUUUAUGUUCUGUAAGAUCUUCCUUUGGUUAGAUUGUUUUAUUGCUUCUCUGUUCAGCCCAUUCAUGUCCUUGUUUCCACUCCCUGCCUCAGUCAGCUUGAAAUAAGCUUCAUCUGUUCCACCUGCACUUUGCCAAUUAGUCUCCUAUCUUCACCUGUACAUAUACUCCUCUGGUCUGUUCAUUCCUUGCUGGAUCAUUAUAUCACUGUCACCCAUGUCAAGUCUGUCUGGGGCGGUUGCUACACCAAAGCCUUGGUUCCAUGUUCAGCCCUCCUCAUGCCUGCUUGUAAGUUUUCUUUUAUUUUGUAUUAAACGUUGUUAUUUCACAUCUGCUCCUGCCUGUCUGUAUGUGGGUCAUACUCCUGAAACCAGUUCGACAAAACCAAAGUGCAGACAGGAGUUUGAGAUUGUAGGAACCAAAAUAUCAUUUUGUAACAUUGUUUAUUAUUGUGUAUGAUGAUUGUGUACCAGUUCUACAUUUGGAUAUUUCAUUAACAGUAAGUCACUUUUUCCUAUGUUUUUGUGUAAAAGUGGCCUCUAGUGGAUGUACUUGAAGAUUGUCGGAAAAUGAUAAAUGGCCUGCACUUGUGUAGCUCUUAAUCAAGUCCAAAGACUCCAAAGCGCCUUACACUACCAUCAGCCUUCCACCCAUUCAUACACACAUUCACAAGCUGACAGUGGUAAGCUACAUUGUAGCCCUGGGGCAGACUGGCAGCAGUGAGGCUGCCAAACAAUCAUUGCCACACUGACCACAAUCAGCAGGCAAGGCAGUUAAAGUGUCUUACACAACAACUGAGAUGAACGGAGCGGAGGUUCACACUUGCAACCCACUGGAUGUGUAGGAUGAACACCUACCACCAUUUAUCAGACUUUGUGUGGAUGGUUGCAAGUAUUUCUAGAAUUCAUUAAAGAAACAUGCACCAUAGGAAACUACGGAACAGGAACGUGUCAAUUAAAAACCAAACCAAUGGAAUUGAACCAGAAGAAACUGGUUUCUUUGACCAAUAACUUCUUUGACUUGAACUUCAAAGUGUAAAGAAACCACUACAAGCAUGAAGAUGAAUGAUUUAAUGAAAAUCAAACACAAGGUUGCGGGCAAAAUAUGAUGAGAACAGGAAAAGAAACUGGACAGGAUAAAACAUAAGAAACCAGCAAGGAACAAUGAAAACCAGAAAGCUGAAAGGCUGAGGAGGAGUGAAGAGUGAGAUUGAAGCCAUGUGAGUCUAAUCAGAGGAAUGCUGAACAGCUGAGGAAGAGUACUGAGCUGGGAAACUGAGGGAAGGUAAAUAAUAAACAGAGAAGAUGACUGACAUAGGACUCCAAAGCAAAAUGCAGAGAGAACAAAAGCAAAUGAUUUAUUUAAGAAACUAAACUGAAUGAACUACAUGGCAAGUCCCUAACAACAAUGAUGCACAACACAGAAAAAUGAACUGAUUAUAAGAAGACCUCUCUGACAAUAACAGACAGCCCAGAAAUGAUCAGAAAACAAACAACAGAAAAGCAACAUACAAACACCAACGGAUUAUAUGUUGGAGAACAUCAGUGAACAAACAGGAUUAUGAAGACCAAGAAAUACAACAGAAAAGUCAGAGAUAAAGUUGUGGAGCAGUUUAAAACGGGGUUGUGUUAUGAACCAAUAUCCCAAGCUUUAAACAUCUCACAGAGCACUGUUCAGUGCAUUGAUGGAGCACUCACCAGAGACCUAGCCAAGAAGCUCAUGGUAAUGCCUAGAAGAAAGCCACUGUCUAAUGAAAACCGAGUUUGCAGUUGACCACGAGCUAGGUAGGGACACAGCAAACGUGGAAAAAAAAAACAGACCCAUUCCCAUUGUUAAAUGAAGUAAUGGCAGAAGGCUUUGCAACAUCCAGAAUGUACAGAAUUUCAGAAAAAAUCUUUUCCUGCUUUGCUGCAGAUUAACAUGUUUAAAGUCUCAAAAUCUACAGCUAGUAAUUCUUUAAUAAACAGUUGUGUCACUAUUGCUGGAAAGGGGAAACAGGCAUUUGCACUUUAUGAAGACUUUCUUUUAUUUUACACAAUUUUCAAAUAUAACAGAGACAUAGCCAGAUGAUAUUAUUUAUAAAAAUUCUUACAAUAUGACACCAUGUUUUAUUUAUGUUAAAAAGAUACAAAACACAACAGGAUACUUGCUGUACAGUAGGGGUCAAUGACUUCAUGAAGAACCAUCUCAGAUUCUGUGAGAGGAAUCCUUAUUUGUGAAUGAGUUGGGUAUAAACGAGUCGAAAUCUGAGAUUGGGGAUUGGAAA